rnacentral:misc_RNA from 1 species
UCCCCGCUUUACGGGGCAGUCUCGCCAGAGAAUACAACUAUUCACAAGGGUUGCGCUCGUUGAUGGACUUAACCAAACAUCUCACGACACGAGCUGACGACGGCCAUGCAACAUCUGUCACUUGGCUCAAUAAAGCACUCACUACUUUCGUAGUAACUCCAAGGAUGUCAAACCCUGGUAAGGUUCUUCGUUUAUCAUCGAAUUAAAGAACACGAUCCACCGCUUGUGCGGGUCCCCGUCAAUUCCUUUAUGUUUUAGUCUUGCGACCGUACUCCACAGGCGGGAUACUUAACGCGUUAGCUUCGCUACUGGAGGGGUCGAUACCUCCAACAGCUAGUAUCCAUCGUUUACGGCGUGGACUAC